CCUAGGGCCAUCCCAUGGCUGCACUGACUGCUCUGGACCAGCCACCCUGUGCAGCGCUGGUGUGGACAGCCCGGGAGUGACCUGCCCGGCUCCCUCACCGGGAAGUCCCUGAAAGGGAUGCACUUGGUGAUUUAUUGUUGGAUGGAAGUUUCUAUUAAACAACCCUUCCUUUCCCAGCCUAGCUCUCGGACUCACAUUUACCUCUGCUUUCUCUGAAGACGAAGUGGAAACCUCUGCCCAGCCUGGUUGGUAUAAGUGGGAGGAGUGGUCCCUGGAGGAGGAGAGACCUUGCUGCAAGGCCUGGGGACAAGCAUCAUCAUGUGCCUGAUGGCGUGGAAGGCUCUGUGGACACAAGGCCCUGGUACAGAGUUAUACAUUUAGUUGUAGGUCCUUCUAGAUCUUCUAUGUGAGCCACUGCCACAGCAUGGCAACUGACAGAUGGAUGGUGUGGUUCUGAGCCUGGGAACCGAACCUGGGCUGCUGAAGUGGAGCGCACUGAACUUUAACUGCUAGGCCAUUGCGGCUGGCUCUGUCAGUUUUGAAUAAAGGAAAUGAAACCAC
rnacentral:lncRNA from 1 species